CGUAGGGGGCAAGCGUUGUCCGGAAUUAUUGGGCGUAAAGGGCGCGUAGGCGGAUGGUUAAGUCCGGUGUGAAAGAUCAGGGCUCAACCCUGAGAGUGCAUCGGAAACUGGGCAUCUUGAGGACAGGAGAGGAAAGUGGAAUUCCACGUGUAGCGGUGAAAUGCGUAGAUAUGUGGAGGAACACCAGUGGCGAAGGCGACUUUCUGGACUGUAACUGACGCUGAGGCGCGAAAGCGUGGGGAGCAAACAGGAUUAGAUACCCUGGUAGUCCACGCUGUAAACGAUGAGUGCUAGGUGUAGAGGGUAUCGACCCCUUCUGUGCCGCAGUUAACACAAUAAGCACUCCGCCUGGGGAGUACGGCCGCAAGGUCG
rnacentral:rRNA from 1 species